rnacentral:rRNA from 1 species
AAUGAACGUUGGCGGCGUGGAUUAGGCAUGCAAGUCGAGCGAGUCUAUCAGAUAGCAAUAUUUGGUAAGUCGAGCGGCGUAAGGGGCAGUAAUACCUGGGAACGUACCCUGAGGUCGGGGAUAGCUGCUAGAAAUGGCGAGUAAUACCCGAUGAUCUCGAGAGAGCAAAGGCUUGCCGCCUUCGGAGCGGCCCAGGCGAUAUUAGCUAGUUGGUGGGGUAAUGGCCUACCAAGGCAUAGAUGUCUAGCGGGUGUGAGAGCACGACCCGCGCCACUGGCACUGAGACACUGGCCAGACACCUACGGGAGGCAG